rnacentral:rRNA from 1 species
UACGGAGGGGGCUAGCGUUGGUUCGGAAUUACUGGGCGUAAAGCGCACGUAGGGCGGCUUUGUAAGUUAGAGGUGAAAGCCCGGGGCUCAACUCCGGAAUUGCCUUUAAGACUGUAUCGCUAGGAAUUGUGGAGAGGUAAGUGGGAAUUCCGAAGUGUAGAGGUGAAAUUCGUAGAUAUUCGGAAGAACACCAGUGGCGAAGGCGACUCACUGGUCCGGUUCUGACGCUGAGGCGCGAAAGCGUGGGGAGCAAACAGG